rnacentral:rRNA from 1 species
ACUCUUGCAAAAGCAUAACCACCCUAGAACUCGUUAC